rnacentral:rRNA from 1 species
UACGUAGGGACCAAGCGUUGUUCGGAUUUACUGGGCGUAAAGGGCUCGUAGGUGGCCAACUAAGUCAGACGUGAAAUCCCUCGGCUUAACCGGGGAACUGCGUCUGAUACUGGAUGGCUUGAGUUCGGGAGAGGGAUGCGGAAUUCCAGGUGUAGCGGUGAAAUGCGUAGAGAUCAUGAGGAAGACCAGUGGCGAAGGCGGGUCUCUGGACAGUUCCUGACACUGAGACACGAAGGCCAGGGGAGCAAACGGG